CAUUCUAUGUUUUCCUGCACCUUUUCUUGCCUCCCUCCCAAAUUUCUUCUUCUUCUUCCUCAUUGGAAGAGGAGCAUAACUAACUUGCUUCCAUCUCCAUCUUCCUGCUUGCCUAUACAAAUUUGCCACCCUCAGGAACAUUACACAAACAAAACCACCACAAAGGCUAAACCAUCCAGCCAGGUUUCCAUUGAUAAUCUUACCUCAACCAUGGCAUCCUCCUCUUCCAUGCCCGGUGGCGGCCUCAAGAGGUCCGACAGCAUCGCCAACAUGAUGCCCGAGGCGCUGCGCCAAACCCGCUACCAAAUGAAGGGAUGCUUCCAGAGGUACAAUACAAACAACCAAUUCAUCUCACCGCCUUGUUGAUCUUCCUUAAUUUCUUUCUCAUGAUAAUAAUCAACAAUGCAUGGUCCAUCUGAUGGCCGUUUUCUGC
rnacentral:lncRNA from 1 species